rnacentral:lncRNA from 1 species
UUUAAGAUAAGUUGAUUAAAACUUAGUUAACACAUCUUAUUGAUAAUUAUCUUAAGCAAAUAGAAUCUAAACUAAAUUGAUUUGACCUUGAUAAAUCUGUUUAUUGCCUCACAUGCUUGUCCUUGAACUAUCUUGGUUAAUGAAUCUAUCUCUUUAGUUCAAGUGAUAUGUGCUUGCUUAUAUUUAGGUAAAUCUCUUGAGUAAAGUAACUCAACAUGCAAC